AAAUAGAACUUUGCAGAGAGAGUUAACAGGGCGUGAAACCGUUGAUUGGCAAACGAAUCGGAGCCACGAAGUCGUUUCGCUGUUAGUUGGGCGGAGUUCAGUUCGCGCCGAAAGACGCGGGCGUAUUCUCACGCUCAUCCAACUUUGUAAGCGUACACUGCAACCUGUUAGACGAUCAGCUGUGGGCUGAGUGACGUAGAGCGAGCAAUCGCGCUGCGGCACGCAUUGUCUGUUCGCUCGCGGUAGUAGUAGCGCAACUGACUUCGGUCUUUCUGUGUUGCCGGCCGCGUGGCGGGUGAACUACAGCUGAAUACUGACAGGCGAAAUGAAAACCGUUUAAAAACGUUAGAGAAAAUGCAGUUGGCCACAUGGAUGUCUACACGUUCGACUGUUAGGUCUAAGCUUGGCAUUUUUGAAUUCAGACCUGCUUGCUACCAGUGGGGCAACUCCUGGUGCUUGUAUGGCUUCUGUCUAAUCGGGUGUCGACUUGGCUUGGCAUCGUUCGGGCGUGAAUCGAUCGGAUGUUUAUGUGAGCUAAUUCGCAAUUUGAAUUGGCAGUGAGUAGGUCGGCUUUCCGAACGA
rnacentral:rRNA from 1 species